UGGGGAAUUUUGCACAAUGGAGGGAACUCUGAUGCAGCGACGCCGCGUGAACGAAGAAGGCUUUCGAGUCGUAAAGUUCUUUUAUAUGGGAAGAUAAUGACGGUACCAUAAGAAAAAGUCCCGGCUAACUACGUGCCAGCAGCCGCGGUAAUACGUAGGGGGCUAGCGUUGUCCGGAAUCACUGGGCGUAAAGGGUUCGCAGGCGGAAAUGCAAGUCAGGUUUAAAAGGCAGUAGCUUAACUACUGUAAGCAUUUGAAACUGCAUAUCUUGAGAAGAGUAGAGGUAAGUGGAAUUUUUAGUGUAGCGGUGAAAUGCGUAGAUAUUAAAAAGAAUACCGGUGGCGAAGGCGACUUACUGGGCUCAUUCUGACGCUGAGGAACGAAAGCGUGGGUAGCAAACAGG
rnacentral:rRNA from 1 species